rnacentral:rRNA from 1 species
GAAAGUAAGAAAGGGCGUAUGGCGGAUGCCUAGGCUCACGGAGGCGAUGAAGGACGUGAUAAGCUGCGAUAAGCCGCGGGUAGCUGCAAAUAUGCUAUGAUCCGCGGAUUUCCGAAUGGGACAACCCGGCAGUCUGAAGGACUGUCAUUACCGCUAGUCGGUAAGGCGAACGCAGGGAACUGAAACAUCUUAGUACCUGUAGGAAGAGAAAAUAAAAUAAUGAUUCCCCUAGUAGUGGCGAGCGAACGGGGAAGAGCCCAAACCGGUGACGUGGCAACGCGCCGCCGGUGUUGUAGGACCACGUUGUUGUACUUUUAUUGCGAGCCGAGGCUGUUGGAAAUCAGCAUCAGAGAGGGUGAUAAUCCCGUAGGCGAAGCAAGACGAGACAUAGUGUAAUCCUGAGUAACGCGGAGCACGAGGAAUUCUGCGCGAACCAGCCGGGACCAUCCGGUAAGGCUAAAUACUCCCGUGAGACCGAUAGUGUACCAGUACCGUGAGGGAAAGGUGAAAAGUACUUCGAUGAGAAGGUUGAAAGAGAUCCUGAAACCAUACGCCUACAAGCGGUCGGAGCUUCGUAAGAAGUGACGGCGUGCCUUUUGCAUAAUGAACCUACGAGUUGCCAUCACCGGCAAGGUUAACCGUCUAAGACGGGCAACCGCAGUGAAAGCGAGCCUGAAGAGGGCGUCCAAGUCGGUGGGGGCAGACGCGAAACCAAGUGAUCUACACUUAGCCAGGGUGAAGUUCCGGUAACACGGAAUGGAGGCCCGCACCAAUAAGCGUUGAAAAGCUUCUGGAUGAGCCGAGUGUAGGAGUGAAAGGCCAAUCAAACUUGGAGAUAGCUCGUACUCCCCGAAAAGCAUUUAGGUGCUGCGUGGGGUGUUCAGCGUGAGAGGUAGAGCGACCGAUAGGUCAAGAGGGCUUCACCGCCUAUCGAGACCUGACGAACUCCGAAUGCUCACGCUCCGAAGCCCUGCAGUAAGGGGACGGGUGCUAAGGUCCGUUCCCGAGAGGAGAAGAAUCCAGACCGCCGUCUAAGGCCCCGGAAUUCUGCCUGAGUUAGUCUAACGAAGUAUGGUCCCAGUGACAGCUAGGAUGUUGGCUUGGAAGCAGCCAUUCAUUCAAAGAGUGCGUAACAGCUCACUAGUCGAGGGUCCGUGCAUGGAUAAUAAUCGGGUAUAAGGCAGAUGCCGAAGGCGCGGGAUAGUAAUAAUAAAAGUAUCGGUAGGGGAGCAUACCGUGUGCGUUGAAUGGUGAGGAGCAACCGAUCCUGGAGCGCACGGUAAAGCAAAUGUAGGUAUAAGUAACGAUAAGGGGGGUGAGAUCCCCCCCCGCCGCAAGACUAAGGUUUCCCGGGCAAUGUCAAUCAUCCCGGGGUGAGUCGGGUCCUAAGUCUAAGCCGAACGGCGAAGGCGAUGGCAGAAACGGUUAAUAUUCCGUUACUGCCGCACGGAGUGACGCGGGGACGGAGCAGUGAAACCGCCGCGGCCUUACGGAAUAGGCCGUUAAAGGGUGUAGACGUAGAUGCGUGCAGGCAAAUCCACACGCAGAGUCGAACCUGAAAGUAUGGCCCCCUCUCCGGAGGGAGCCAAUAGCGCGGGUAAGCAGACUCCCAAGAAAAUCCGCUAAACAUAAUCCGUGCGGCACCCGUACCGCAAACGGACACACGUAGUCGUGUAGAAUAUACUGAGGCGUUGAGAGAUUCAUGGUUAAGGAACUAGGCAAAUUAACCCCGUAACUUCGGGAUAAGGGGUCCUCCCCCUAGGGUGAGGCGCAGAGAAUAGGUCCAGGCAACUGUUUAACAAAAACACAGGGCUGUGCAAACUCGAAAGAUGAAGUAUACAGCCUGACACCUGCCCGGUGCCGGAAGGUUAAGAGGAGAUGUCACCAGCAAUGGGAAGCAUUGAAUUGAAGCCCCGGUAAACGGCGGCCGUAACUAUAACGGUCCUAAGGUAGCGAAAUUCCUUGUCGGGUAAGUUCCGACCUGCACGAAUGGUGUAACGAUCUGGACACUGUCUCAACCGUGAGCUCGGUGAAAUUGUAGUAUCGGUGAAGAUGCCGAUUACCCGCGAUGGGACGAAAAGACCCCGUGAACCUUUACUACAGCUUAGCAUUGACCUUGGUCAUCCGAUGUGUAGGAUAGGCCGGAGGCUUUGAAGCG